rnacentral:rRNA from 1 species
UUAAGUUAUUAAGGGCGCACGGUGGAUGCCUUGGCACUAGAAGCCGAUGAAGGACGUUACUAACGACGAUAUGCUUUGGGGAGCUGUAAGUAAGCUUUGAUCCAGAGAUUUCCGAAUGGGGAAACCCAGCAUGAGUUAUGUCAUGUUAUCGAUAUGUGAAUACAUAGCAUAUCAGAAGGCACACCCGGAGAACUGAAACAUCUUAGUACCCGGAGGAAGAGAAAGAAAAUUCGAUUCCCUUAGUAGCGGCGAGCGAAACGGGAAGAGCCCAAACCAAAAAGCUUGCUUGUUGGGGUUGUAGGACACUCUAUACGGAGUUACAAAGGACGACAUUAGACGAAUCAUCUGGAAAGAUGAAUCAAAGAAGGUAAUAAUCCUGUAGUCGAAAAUGUUGUCUCUCUUGAGUGGAUCCUGAGUACGACGGAGCACGUGAAAUUCCGUCGGAAUCUGGGAGGACCAUCUCCUAAGGCUAAAUACUCUCUAGUGACCGAUAGUGAACCAGUACCGUGAGGGAAAGGUGAAAAGCACCCCGGAAGGGGAGUGAAAUAGAACCUGAAACCGUGUGCUUACAAGUAGUCAGAGCCCGUUAAUGGGUGAUGGCGUGCCUUUUGUAGAAUGAACCGGCGAGUUACGAUUUGAUGCAAGGUUAAGCAGUAAAUGUGGAGCCGUAGCGAAAGCGAGUCUGAAUAGGGCGUUUAGUAUUUGGUCGUAGACCCGAAACCAGGUGAUCUACCCUUGGUCAGGUUGAAGUUCAGGUAACACUGAAUGGAGGACCGAACCGACUUACGUUGAAAAGUGAGCGGAUGAACUGAGGGUAGCGGAGAAAUUCCAAUCGAACCUGGAGAUAGCUGGUUCUCUCCGAAAUAGCUUUAGGGCUAGCCUCAAGUGAUGAUUAUUGGAGGUAGAGCACUGUUUGGACGAGGGGCCCCUCUCGGGUUACCGAAUUCAGACAAACUCCGAAUGCCAAUUAAUUUAACUUGGGAGUCAGAACAUGGGUGAUAAGGUCCGUGUUCGAAAGGGAAACAGCCCAGACCACCAGCUAAGGUCCCAAAAUAUAUGUUAAGUGGAAAAGGAUGUGGCGUUGCCCAGACAACUAGGAUGUUGGCUUAGAAGCAGCCAUCAUUUAAAGAGUGCGUAAUAGCUCACUAGUCGAGUGACACUGCGCCGAAAAUGUACCGGGGCUAAACAUAUUACCGAAGCUGUGGAUUGUCCUUUGGACAAUGGUAGGAGAGCGUUCUAAGGGCGUUGAAGCAUGAUCGUAAGGACAUGUGGAGCGCUUAGAAGUGAGAAUGCCGGUGUGAGUAGCGAAAGACGGGUGAGAAUCCCGUCCACCGAUUGACUAAGGUUUCCAGAGGAAGGCUCGUCCGCUCUGGGUUAGUCGGGUCCUAAGCUGAGGCCGACAGGCGUAGGCGAUGGAUAACAGGUUGAUAUUCCUGUACCACCUAUAAUCGUUUUAAUCGAUGGGGGGACGCAGUAGGAUAGGCGAAGCGUGCGAUUGGAUUGCACGUCUAAGCAGUAAGGCUGAGUAUUAGGCAAAUCCGGUACUCGUUAAGGCUGAGCUGUGAUGGGGAGAAGACAUUGUGUCUUCGAGUCGUUGAUUUCACACUGCCGAGAAAAGCCUCUAGAUAGAAAAUAGGUGCCCGUACCGCAAACCGACACAGGUAGUCAAGAUGAGAAUUCUAAGGUGAGCGAGCGAACUCUCGUUAAGGAACUCGGCAAAAUGACCCCGUAACUUCGGGAGAAGGGGUGCUCUUUAGGGUUAACGCCCAGAAGAGCCGCAGUGAAUAGGCCCAAGCGACUGUUUAUCAAAAACACAGGUCUCUGCUAAACCGUAAGGUGAUGUAUAGGGGCUGACGCCUGCCCGGUGCUGGAAGGUUAAGAGGAGUGGUUAGCUUCUGCGAAGCUACGAAUCGAAGCCCCAGUAAACGGCGGCCGUAACUAUAACGGUCCUAAGGUAGCGAAAUUCCUUGUCGGGUAAGUUCCGACCCGCACGAAAGGCGUAACGAUUUGGGCACUGUCUCAACGAGAGACUCGGUGAAAUCAUAGUACCUGUGAAGAUGCAGGUUACCCGCGACAGGACGGAAAGACCCCGUGGAGCUUUACUGUAGCCUGAUAUUGAAAUUCGGCACAGCUUGUACAGGAUAGGUAGGAGCCUUUGAAACGUGAG